rnacentral:rRNA from 1 species
AUUGAACGCUGGCGGCAUGCCUUACACAUGCAAGUCGAACGCGAAAGUAGGGGCAACCCUGCGAGUAGAGUGGCGAACGGGUGAGUAAUGCAUCAGAACAUUUCCAGUAGCGGGGGAUAACCUCGAGAAAUCGAGGCUAAUACCGCGUACGUCCUACGGGAGAAAGCGGGGGACCGCAAGGCCUCGCACUAUUGGAGUGGCCGAUGCCGGAUUAGCUAGUUGGCGGGGUAAAAGCCCACCAAGGCGACGAUCCGUAGCUGGUCUGAGAGGAUGAUCAGCCAAACUGGGACUGAGACACGGCCCAGACUCCUACGGGAGGCAGCAGUGGGGAAUUUUGGACAAUGGGCGCAAGCCUGAUCCAGCCAUGCCGCGUGAGUGAAGAAGGCCUUCGGGUUGUAAAGCUCUUUCGGCCGGGACGAAAUCGCACCCUUUAACACGGGGUGUGGAUGACGGUACCGGAAGAAGAAGGACCGGCUAACUACGUGCCAGCAGCCGCCGUAA